UUGAACAUCGACAUCUUGAACGC
rnacentral:rRNA from 2 species